GAAUUGCGAUAAGUAAUGUGAAUUGCAGAAAUACGUGAAUCAUCGAAUCUUUGAACGCAUAUUGCACUCUCUGGUAAUCCGGAGAGUAUGCCUGUUUGAGGGUCAGUAAACAAACAUUAUCAUAAAUCAUUGAUUUAUGGAAUUGGGCAUUUAUUUCAAUACACAAGAUUUAUUGCCUUAAAUUUACGUCGUUAUGAAAUUCUCUCUAAAUGGAGCAAUUAAACAUUCUCGUUUGGUUGGGAUAUUUCAUUUACAAAGCUAUUACGAUUUUCACGCGCAAAGACACUUUUAACAAAGUGGUCUCAGCUACGAUCGUAAGUUAUUUAACAAAGACCUCAAAUCAGGCAAGAAUACCCGCUGAACUUAA
rnacentral:misc_RNA from 1 species